rnacentral:rRNA from 1 species
AGUGAACGCUGGCGGUAGGCCUAACACAUGCAAGUCGAACGGCAGCACAGUAAGAGCUUGCUCUUACGGGUGGCGAGUGGCGGACGGGUGAGGAAUACAUCGGAAUCUACUUUUUCGUGGGGGAUAACGUAGGGAAACUUACGCUAAUACCGCAUACGACCUACGGGUGAAAGCAGGGGAUCUUCGGACCUUGCGCGAUUGAAUGAGCCGAUGUCGGAUUAGCUAGUUGGCGGGGUAAAGGCCCACCAAGGCGACGAUCCGUAGCUGGUCUGAGAGGAUGAUCAGCCACACUAGAACUUGGACACGGUCCAGACUCCUACGGGAGGCAGCAGUGGGGAAUAUUGGACAAUGGGCGCAAGCCUGAUCCAGCCAUACCGCGUGGGUGAAGAAGGCCUUCGGGUUGUAAAGCCCUUUUGUUGGGAAAGAAAAGCAGCAGGUUAAUACCCCGCUGUUCUGACGGUACCCAAAGAAUAAGCACCGGCUAACUUCGUG